rnacentral:lncRNA from 1 species
AUAAGAAGUUCCUUAUUGAGAGCUGAUGAAGAUAAGAGCUCCUUUGUUCCUCCUACACUAAUUGAGCAGGCUGAUGAAAUGAUUAGGAAGGAACUUCUGUCUUUGCUAGAACAUGAUAAUAGCAAGUAUCCUCUAGAUGAAAAACCAGAGAAGGAGAAGAAAAAGGGGGUCACGCGGAAAGUGCUUGCUGAACCUGCAAUUGAGGACUUUGAGGAAGAUGUAAAAGCAGAGAAGGAGAAGAAAAAGGGGGUCAAGCGAAAAGUGGUUGCUGAACCUGCGAUUGAGGACUUUGAGGAAGAUGAAUUGAAAGAGGUACGUUCAUGUUACAUAAA